GGAACACAGCACAGCAGCUCUGCAGUAAAUGUACAAGGAAUUGGGCCUUUGACCGAGUGCUCUUCUACUGGCUGCUUUGACAGCUUUCCAGGACCCGGAAAAAAGUCUCCUUCUGAGAGAAAACCAGACAGCAUCUUCCACAGACUCUCAACCAUCAACAAGUGGCCUGAAAGAUCGCCUGAAAAUGAUACAACAGGCGUCCCAAUAGAAUUAUGGAGAAGCAAAUAAAGCAAGGAAGACAAUCAACAAGAUUUCUGUUGACAGAUAUUAAACAAUUUGAAACAAUUGGAACAGUUUCUAAAUCAAAUAAAAAUAUGAAUUAUCU
ensembl:lincRNA Gm13942 predicted gene 13942